GGUAGGGUGGCCGAGGGCUCAGGCGGUGGAUUGUAGCUCCACUAACAAAGGUUUAAGUCCUUUUCUUAUCA
rnacentral:tRNA from 2 species